AUGGCAUUGGUGCCGUUGGUUGAGGAUUAACAAAAGCUGAGUGGAAAAUCUCUAAGUAAACUUUCUCAUCAAUAUUUUAUUAUUUUACUACCUAUUCUAGUUAUAUGAUAAUCACAUAGAUCUUAAAAAAAAUGUGAUACAUGCUAAUUUUGUCAAUUAUUUAAUGGUUACGUCAACGUCCAGUGGAGGUCACAAGUUCAAAUACAUUGAAAAAACAUCAAUUGAUCAAGUUGCUUAUGCCACCAUUGAUGCCAAUUUGUUAAGAAUCUCUGAAACAAUAAUAUCAGGGCUUUUCUUUUUCAGAUAUUGGGACGAAAGUUCUUUCAGGCAAUGUUUAAAGCUUCCAAAUGACAAUCAGUCCUUCCACUUC
rnacentral:lncRNA from 1 species